CUGAGUCAGUUGCGUGUCGCCAAGUGGAACGUGUAAUUAUUUUCUUCUCUAAUUAGUUUAUUUCAAAUGAAUUUUAAUUGGUAUUAGUGCCGUAUAUUAUGUGCAUUCGUCAGGAUUCGUGCAGGAUCUUACUCAACGAUUUUUUUUCAGAUUCUUUUUCAAGUUUUAGCUCAGUUCAUUUUACUUCUUCUCCUUCCUGGAUUUAUAGUUUGUUUUAGAUAAACAACGAUGAUUGGUGACUGGUUGAAUUAUUUCUGGCUGUUGUUUUUCCGGUAUCUUUACUACCCGAAAAAUGCUAUCGAAGGUAACAAUAUUAAAUAUUCUCUUAUAGCUGUCCUCGGAUGCUUUAUAGUGGAUAGAGCAAAUUUUAGUGAAAG